GAGCCACUUUUAGUGUGGUGGUUGGAAAGUUUUUUCGGUGCAAGAUGAGCUCGCGGCCUAUCAGCUUGUUGGUGGGGUAAUGGCCUACCAAGGCGUCGACGGGUAGCCGGCCUGAGAGGGUGUACGGCCACAUUGGGACUGAGAUACGGCCCAGACUCCUACGGGAGGCAGCAGUGGGGAAUAUUGCACAAUGGGCGGAAGCCUGAUGCAGCGACGCCGCGUGGGGGAUGACGGCCUUCGGGUUGUAAACUCCUUUCGACAGGGACGAAGCGUAAGUGACGGUACCUGUAUAAGAAGCACCGGCUAACUACGUGCCAACAGCCGCGGUAAUACGUAAGGUGCGAGCGUUGUCCGGAAUUACUGGGCGUAAAGAGCUCGUAGGUGGUUUGUCGCGUCGUCUGUGAAAUUCCGGGGCUUAACUUCGGGCGUGCAGGCGAUACGGGCAUAACUUGAGUGCUGUAGGGGAGACUGGAAUUCCUGGUGUAGCGGUGAAAUGCGCAGAUAUCAGGAGGAACACCGAUGGCG
rnacentral:rRNA from 1 species